AAUUGACAAGCAGCGUCACCUUAUAGCAUGUGGGAGCCAUCCUCAUUAAAGCCAUGAGUUGAUAGUUAAAAGCCUUGGGGAUGGCAUGGCUUUAUCUCCCUCUUGGCCAUCUAUAGCCUUUAAUGGGUGGAUGUGAUCGGAUCACAAGAAGAUGUCUUAAAGUCAUUAUGAUAAGCCAUUAAUUUUGAUAAGCUGACUUAAUAGCUGCUUGAGGACUUCGAAUAGAUGCUACUAGACGGGACGGCCAUACCA
rnacentral:lncRNA from 1 species